rnacentral:rRNA from 1 species
UUUUGGACAUGGGGGCAACCCUGNUCCAGCCAUGCCGCGUGGGUGAAGAAGGCCUUCGGGUUGUAAAGCCCUUUCGGCCGGGAAGAAAGCGCCACGGUAAACAGCCGUGGUGGAUGACGGUACCGGAAGAAGAAGCACCGGCUAACUACGUGCCAGCAGCCGCGGUAAUACGUAGGGUGCGAGCGUUACUCGGAAUUACUGGGCGUAAAGGGUGCGCAGGCGGAUCCUUAAGCCAGACGUGAAAUCCCCGGGCUUAACCUGGGAAUGGCGUUUGGAACUGGGGAUCUAGAGUGCGGCAGAGGGGGGUGGAAUUCCUGGUGUAGCAGUGAAAUGCGUAGAGAUCAGGAGGAACACCGAUGGCGAAGGCAGCCCCCUGGGCCUGCACUGACGCUCAGGCACGAAAGCGUGGGGAGCGAACAGGAUUAGAUACCCUGGUAGUCCACGCCCUAAACGAUGUCGACUGGUUGUUCGGGGAAUUUAAUCCCUGAGUGACGAAGCCAACGCGAGAAGUCGACCGCCUGGGGAGUACGGCCGCAAGGUUAAAACUCAAAAAAAUUGACGGA